UUAAAAUGCACCAAUACAUAUACAUUUUUGUUAUUAACACAUAUUUAGAUUUAGGUACUUUUUCACUAACACAUGCUUAGAGUUAGGUACUGCUGUCAAAGAGUCGGACUACUUGUUAUACUUUGCCACGAAAUCUCUACCCGUCACCUGUAAUAUGAUUCGUGCUGCCACUGAAAUAGACGAUGAACUUCACUGAAAAGAUGAUCUCUAGACUGUUUAAUGUAUGUUGAUAGAAUUGUCAUACCUAAAUGUUUCAGAAAUAAAAUUUAAAAAGAAUUGCACAAGGCUCACAAGGUCAGGAACAGCAAAUGCCAAUUUAAAUAUUUCCUCCAGUGUCAUCGGUGUACUCCAAACAAAGCUUCAGGAAAAACUCGUUCGUGGGAAGGAAAGUUAGAUUAAACCUUGGCUUGCUACAAAAACCUUAAGUGGAUAUCCUAAUUCGUAACCAGAAAAUGGAAUCUCAGUUAAAUAACCAAUAUGGAGCUAAACAAAGAAUCUACGGUAUUGGACAGCAAGUGUUAGCAAAGGUAUACAAGCGAAAUGAAAUGGACCCCCGGAAUAAUUGCAAAUAAGAAACCACAAAUGCUGCUGAACAAAUAGAAGUUAGUGAGGAAGAUUCUAAACAACAACAUAAUCCAAAUGUUAAUCCAAGUUGCUGAACCAUCGCAGUGUAUUCUAGAAAAAACUCCAGUAUAAGAUCAGCCCACAGAACAACUGCCGUUUAGCCAAUCCUUUUUUUCUAUUUAAUUAUACAUAUACACAUAUAAAUAUAAAAACACAACAAUUAUUUACCUUUUUUGUUGUUAAUAAUUUUUAUUUUGCGUGUGUGAAAACACUCAACCACCAUCAGUGGUG